UGUUUUUAUAGUGGAGGGUAAGGGUUAGUGGUGAGGGUUUUACCAGUCUAGUUUUUAUAGUGGAGGGUUAGUGGUGAGCGUUUAACCAGUCUAGUUUUUAUCGUGUAGGGUAAGGGUUAGUGGUAAGGGUUUAACCAGUCUAGUUUUUAUAGUGGAGGGUAAGGGUUAGUGGUGAGGGUUUAACCAGUCUAGUUGUUAUAGUGGAGGGUAAGGGUUAGUGGUGAGGGUUUUACCAGUCUAGUUUUUAUAGUGGAGGGUUAGUGGUGAGGGUUUAACCAGUGUAGUUUUUAUAGUGGAGGGUAAGGGUUAGUGGUGAGGGUUUUACCAGUCUAGUUUUUAUAGUGGAG
ensembl:lncRNA